UACAGAGGUCUCAAGCGUUGUUCGGAUUCAUUGGGCGUAAAGGGUGUGUAGGUGGCGCCGUAAGUCGGGUGUGAAAUUUCGGAGCUUAACUCCGAAACUGCAUUCGAUACUGCCGUGCUUGAGGACUGGAGAGGAGACUGGAAUUUACGGUGUAGCGGUGAAAUGCGUAGAUAUCGUAAGGAAGACCAGUGGCGAAGGCGGGUCUCUGGACAGUUCCUGACGCUGAGGCACGGAAGGCCAGGGGGAGCAAAACGGG
rnacentral:rRNA from 1 species